rnacentral:sRNA from 1 species
UACAGCAAAUUAAAACCAAAAAUUAAUAAAUACUUAUGAGAGGUUUUAGGAAUGAUAAUUUUUGAAGUAAUGCUAGAUUUUUUUUGAAGUAAUGGUGGAGUUAAUAUAGAGAGAUUUUAGGCAAUAUUUUUGUUAGGUAAAUAUUUGAUUUAAAAUGUCGAUUGAAAAAAAUAUAUUCAGUGGCAUUGACUCGUAAAUAAGUUUCAAGUCCAAGAUUUAUUUGUUAAAAUGGCUGCAAAAAUGUAUAUGUAGAUUUUACCCUUAUUUGAAAAAGUUGAAGGUUAACAAAAUAAAAUAAU